rnacentral:rRNA from 1 species
CGAACGGGUGAGUAAUACAUCGGAACGUGCCCAGUCUGGGGGAUAACUACUCGAAAGAGUAGCUAAUACCGCAUACGAUCUGAGGAUGAAAGCGGGGGACCUUCGGGCCUCGCGCGAUUGGAGCGGCCGAUGGCAGAUUAGGUAGUUGGUGGGAUAAAAGCUUACCAAGCCGACGAUCUGUAGCUGGUCUGAGAGGACGACCAGCCACACUGGGACUGAGACACGGCCCAGACUCCUACGGGAGGCAGCAGU